rnacentral:rRNA from 1 species
UACAGGGUGAUAGCCCCGUACACGAAAACAAUUUGUAAGUGAAAUCGAGUAGGACGGGGCACGUGAAACCUUGUCUGAACAUGGGGGGACCAUCCUCCAAGGCUAAAUACUCUCAGCUGACCGAUAGUGAACCAGUACCGUGAGGGAAAGGCGAAAAGAACCCCUGUGAGGGGAGUGAAAUAGAACCUGAAACCAGAUGCAUACAA